UCUCCUAGCUCUCCGAAGAAUUGAACUGAAAAAUGACAACAUGCUUUUUAGUCCCCCGACAAACAUUUAUAAGAGACUGCGUGAAGAGUUUGAUGCAAGUGGAAGUGAAAUGUUUAGCUCAUAUGAGGAACAAGAAGACGAUGUACUUCCACAGACAAUGAAAAGAAAAAAAAACUGUUAGUGCAAGAUCAAACAUGUUAAAUUGCAGUGAAAAAGCUGUGGCAGCCAAAGUUCUUGCUUGUUUGGUCUUCUUUGUUGCAAGCUUUCGGCUCUCCAACGUACUAAGCUAUUCUAUGAGCAUCCUUGCAUUACUUUGAGGCACUACAGGAAGAAAAAUAAAAAAGAGCAUUCAACUGAGACGGUUUCUUAGCAAUAGAAUGCAAAGGGGAAAAAACAGAAGAUAAAGCAGGAGAGCUUCUUUCCUCACGGUAAUUACAAGUAGGGAAAUGAUUCCCUCAGAUCUUUUCUCGUUCUACACAUCACACUUUAUUUAUGCUACUUGAAUCUCCUUGGAUUUGUUCAACACAAAGGUCAAAAGUAAGCAUGGGUGUGGUAAAUAAGUUCCCUUAUAACUACAUAUGGCUGCUUUUGCUGUUAACCCUCCUUGAGCAAAAGAUGAUGUCUUUCUCACUUUCAGAGUGAGGGCACCCGCAAAAACAUUUAUUGGCCAUCUUCAGGCUUCUUGUUACUUCAAGAUAAUAUUCUCACCAACACAAGUCAUGAGGUAGGAGGUGGAAUUGCGUCUUCCCUUGUGGAAGCAGUCGGGAAAUCCAAGCUUUUGGUGAUCAUUUUCUCAAAAAAACAAUGCUUCUUCCUCACGGCACUUGGUGUUUGGGAUGAACUUGUGCAUAUACUAGAAUGGAGAUAAAAGAUGCGGGUGGCAGCUUGUUAUACCCAUUUUUUUUGCAACAUCGAUCCAUCACAUGUACGAAAGCAGCAGGGGCGUUAUGCUGGCACAUUUCAUCGAAUUUGAAGAACGUUUUCAAGGAAAUAAUGGACAAGGUGCACAAGAGGACGGCAGCCUUGACGUCUACGGCCAAUCUGUCUGGGUUUGAUGCUUCAAUCAAUAUUAGAUGCAGUGCUACUGCAAGAAACCCCAGAGGAUCAUAAUCAGAGUUACCCGAAUCAAUCAAGCGUCUCUCACUAAAAACAGGGCCUUCUUUAACUAUUCGUGUAUUAAGCAUCAUCUAUUGCCAGCUGCUACAGGAGGUAAUCUCUAAUCCUAUAGCGAAAUAAACUAUACGAGGAAUUAAUAAUGUUUUGAGUACUUCGUUCAUUUCCUCAUGAAGUUUUUAUUUGACUAUCAAUAUUUUCUUCUCAAACUUUUAUUUUGAUCAAGUAUAUGUUAAGAAUGAAUCGCACUGGAGAAAGAAGGGGACUUUGUAUGUGAUUAUAAGGAGUUGGACUACACAUAUUGUUAGUUGGUUUUCGGUUGGAACCUCAACUUA